rnacentral:lncRNA from 1 species
GGAAGGCGGCUAGGGUUUGAGAAGCUUCUAGAAACUUUGAGAGAAUGGGAGGGGGGGGGGUUCAAGGGCGGAUGAUGAUGCCAAAUGGGUAGGGUUUGGCGAGGGGAGGGUAAUGGGUAAUUAAAAAUGGAAAGGUUAAAAGGUGGCCACUGAUCAUUUUGAUCAACAACCUGGAUUAAACAGGGAAGUCGGGCGGGUCGUUGAAAUGGGUUGUGGGUCGGGUAAAUUAAGUAGUUGGGUUGGGUAAUUGGGUCUGAAGAUGGGUUUUAUUAGGGUGUGGGUUGGUUCAAUUUAGGCUAACUUAGAAAGCCAAAAUCUGCCUAUAAGUUAAAUUGCCUCUUUU